rnacentral:rRNA from 1 species
GCAGGCUGCAACUCGCCUGCAUGAAGUCGGAAUUGCUAGUAAUCGCGGAUCAGCAUGCCGCGGUGAAUACGUUCCCGGGCCUUGUACACACCGCCCGUCACACCAUGAGAGCCGGUAACACCCGAAGUCAGAAGCCCAACCGCAAGGAGGGCGCUGCCGAAGGUGGGAUUGGUAAUUGGGGUGAAGUCGUAACAAGGUACC